UUUAACGUCGAGCCAGACGUACAAUGCCUGAUGUCUAAGUUUUGUUCGUUCGGCUCGCGUUAUGCAGGU